rnacentral:rRNA from 1 species
GACGAACGCUGGCGGCGUGCCUAAUACAUGCAAGUCGAACGGUCUUUUCUAUGGAAGCUUGCUUCCACUGAGAAGAUAGUGGCGGACGGGUGAGUAACACGUGGGUAACCUGCCCAUAAGAGGGGGAUAACAUCCGGAAACGGGUGCUAAUACCGCAUAGGUUUCUUGGUCGCAUGAUCGAGAAAGGAAGACGGCCUUUGUGCUGUCGCUUAUGGAUGGACCCGCGGCGUAUUAGUUAGUUGGUGAGGUAACGGCUCACCAAGACCACGAUGCAUAGCCGACCUGAGAGGUGAUCGGCCACAUGGGACU